AGACCUGCGGGAGGCAGAAGGGAGGGUGAGUGUGGAGUCUGCACCGCGUUGAGCCAAAACUUGCCUACUUCAUUCCUGUAAGACACACGAGACCCACGCUUCACUAGCAGGUGGUUAGAUGGGGAAUAAAUACAGCAGCUCUAAGAAGCUAAAUUAGUCAGGUUGUUUUGCAGGAAAAACCAGAAGUGACUCCGGGAAAAAAAAAAAUCAGAAUGAGCAAGUACUUCCGCUUAAUCAGUACCCCAACAGCUUUGAAGCACAGAGAACCUGUUGUAAUUGUUAGUGAAAACCUCAUCUUCUUGCAGCAAAUGGCAACAUCUUUUGCUCAAUUCCUGCACUGUCGACUCAGAUUGAUUUCCUUUUAACCCAUUUAUCUGGUAGACAAAGCCUCUUUGCUUUCUUUUUUUAAGACAGUCUUUUCCAUUUAGAAGUAGAGCAGUGUACUUACAUCGUUAAGGAAAACUUUGAGGAGGUGUUAUUAUAAGAGAUAAGUACAGAGCUGUGUAUCUGAAGCUUUUUACAAGAAAGAAAUGGAACAUUCACAUUGCCAAGGACUUGUUCUAGGAACUGUGGUAAGAGCUGGAACAUAAGGAUAUAUUCUUAAGGAAACUAUUUGUACAAAUACAUAUGUAUUUAUAAUUUGUGGCCUUUGAAAAGGAAACCCCAGGACAUAUAUAACACGGAAACAAGAGGUUAUCCCAGCCAACCUCAAACCAGUCAGUAUGAGAAGCCUAGCCUGUGAGUUCUGGCGUGGACUGGUGUACCAGGGUCUCCCAGAUUCCAUUCUUAGCAGGUUGAUGGGGCAAUGCUGAAAAAAAAAAUGAAUCCCACAAAUUUGGCACACAUCUGCUUCCUGGAUUAAUGUUUUCCCAAACUGUAAACAAGCGGUAGAAGGGACUUCUGGUUUCACCCAUGAUCUUGGCUCCUUUGAUCCAAACCUUUGAGGGAUCUGGCAAGGGACAGAAAGAGCUACCAGAAGAUACAGAGAGAAGGAAGAAGGCAGUAAUGGUUUGUAUCAUGUAAUAGUAGCUUGAAUUUAUAUAGUGUUUUGCAAUGUAUAAACUUCUUUAACAUA